ensembl:lncRNA
CCUAAACACAGCGUGGCUGCUUGCACUCAGUGAGACCUCUGUGUGCAGAACAUGUCCCAGAAGCUCCUGUCUGCUGCUGUGCAAGGAAAGGCAAUUCCUGGCUGGACAGAGGAGAACCAGCACCGAGAAAGGGGAGAAAGGUCCAAUAAGGAGAGAAGGCCUGUGCCUGCCGUGGCUCAAGCAGAAAGACAUCAUUUCAUCUUCUUAUGUGAAGAUCGGUGCCAGAAGGGUGGUGUCAUGGAGGUGAUCCGGCCUUGCUGCUCAGGUCCCUGCAGGGCUGCAUUGCUGGGCUCGCUGUGUGCAUCACAAAUGGGGCUCCUCAGAGCCAGCUGAGUGCUGUCAGCAGUG